rnacentral:rRNA from 1 species
CAGCCGCCGCGGUAAUACCGGCGGCCCGAGUGGCGGUCACUAUUAUUGGGCUUAAAGCGUCCGUAGCCGGGGUGGGAAGUCCUCCGGGAAAUCUGGCCGCUUAACGGUCAGAAUGCCGGAGGAUACUCCCAGCCUAGGGAGCGGGAGAGGCCGAGGGGAUUCCCGGAGGAGGGGUGGAAUCCUAUAAUCCCGGGACGACCACCUGUGGCGAAGGCGCUCGGCUGGAACGCGUCCGACGGUGAGGGACGAAGGCCAGGGGAGCAAACCGGAUUAGAUACCCGGGUAGUCCUGGCUGUAAACGAUGCGGACUUUGUGUCGGACAAGCUAUGAGCUUGUCCGGUGCCGGAGGGAAACCGUUAAGUCCGCCGCCUGGGGAGUACGGCCGCAAGGCUGAAACUUAAAGGAAUUGGCGGG